ACCGAAAUAGCUCAGUUGGGAGAGCGUUAGGUUAGACUAUAGAUCGAACGAUCCCUGGUUCGAUCCCGGGAUUCGGCA
rnacentral:tRNA from 1 species